ensembl:snRNA U5 U5 spliceosomal RNA
AUACUCUGAUUUCUCUUCAAAUCGUAUAAAUCUUUCGCCUUUUACUAAAGAUUUCCGUGGAGAGAAGAAGUUUGGAGUUGUUAGCUAGUUUUUUGGUAGGUCUGGCUUUUGCUGGGCU